rnacentral:rRNA from 1 species
GAAUUCAUGAUCGAAGGUGUUAUUACUAAAGAUCCUGAUAAUGAUGAGGGAUAUAUAUUGGAUUGGAGUUGCCGUGAAUGUGUCCCAGGAAAUAGCUCCACCAUUAGACCGUACCCGAAACGGAUACACGUGUACCGGUAGAGUAUACCUAGGCGCUUGAGAGAAUAAUGUUGAAGGAACUCGGCAAAUUGCUUCCGUAACUUCGGAAUAAGGAAGACCCAAUAUUAGGCAACUAAAUUUGGGUGGCACAAGCUAGGGAGAAGCGACUGUUUAUCAAAAACACAGGUCUCUGCUAACACGUAAGUGGAUGUAUAGGGGCUGACGCCUGCCCGGUGCUGGAAGGUUAAGGCAAGAUGUGCAAGCAUUGAACCGAAGCCCCAGUGAACGGCGGCCGUAACUAUAACGGUCCUAAGGUAGCGAAAUUCCUUGUCGGGUAAGUUCCGACCUGCAUGAAUGGCGUAACGAUUUCUCCGCUGUCUCCAACAUCAACUCAGUGAAAUUGAAUUCUCCGUGAAGAUGCGGAGUUCCCGUGGUUAGACGGAAAGACCCCGUGCACCUUUACUACAACUUUACAUUGGUAUUAGAAAUGACAUGUGUAGCAUAGGAGGGAGACUUUGAAGUUCUGGCGCUAGCUAGAAUGGAGUCAUUAGUGAAAUACCUCUCUUGUUAUUUUUGAUAUCUAACUGCAAGCCGUCAUCCGGCUGCAAGACACUGUAUGGUGGGUAGUUUGACUGGGGCGGUCGCCUCCCAAAGAGUAACGGAGGCGCGCGAUGGUAGGCUCAAGCCGGUCGGACAUCGGCUGUUGAGUGCAAUGGCAUAAGCCUGCCUGACUGCGAGACUGACAAGUCGAGCAGAGACGAAAGUCGGUCAUAGUGAUCCGGUGGUUCUGCGUGGAAGGGCCAUCGCUCAACGGAUAAAAGGUACGCCGGGGAUAACAGGCUGAUACCCUCCAAGAGUUCAUAUCGACGAGGGUGUUUGGCACCUCGAUGUCGGCUCAUCACAUCCUGGGGCUGGAGCAGGUCCCAAGGGUUUGGCUGUUCGCCAAUUAAAGUGGUACGUGAGCUGGGUUUAGAACGUCGUGAGACAGUUCGGUCCCUAUCUGCCGUGGGUGUUCGAAUCUUGAGAGGAGGUGCCCUUAGUACGAGAGUACCGGGGUGGACGCACCUCUAGUGUACCGGUUGUGGCGCCAGCCGCACCGCCGGGUAGCCAAGUGCGGACGGGAUAACCGCUGAAAGCAUCUAAGCGGGAAGCCCCCCUCAAAACCAGGAUUCGCUUGAGAACCGUGGAAGACCACCACGUUGAUAGGCCAAGUGUGGAAGCGCAGUAAUGUGUGAAGCUAAUUGGUACUAAUCGUUCGAUAGGCUUGAUCAG